UCUUCGCUGAUCAAAACUGAUCGCGUUUUUUUCAUUAUUUUAAAUAUUUCCUUUGGCUUUUCGCUUCUUAAUUUCAUUUGCGACGUCUCGGCCUUUUAUUUGGAUACGUGGCGGUGGCUUGGCAUUUUCGCUAAAUGAACUGCCAAGGGAACGGCGCGGGGUGGCACAGAGUCCGCGAGCUAAGAGUAAGCGGUUCGCUGGCUGCAAGCUUGUUUUAUAAGGGUGACCCACUUGGCGGCCAUCUUGAGAUAGUGGACCCCACUCCACUGGAAUAGUCGCGCUUCCUUAAUACAUCUAUCCAGAUUUAGUGCUGCUCAUAUUAAAAAUGGACAUCAUCUAACAGUCGCGGUGCAGAUUCUUGGCUAGAUUGGAAUGAAUGUCGGCUGCUGGUGGAUGUUGAUAUAAGUAUGUUGAGCGAUAUCAAAUUCAUUCUCAAUUUUCGCAAAAACAUCGCUUCAAAGAUAUACAAAUUGAUCAAAGUUUUGAUCGUUCUGCAGAUGGGAAGAGUGCAAUAACCCGUCAGACUGAGAACUAGAGACCAGAAGGUGCGUGUAAUAUCCCAAAAGUGAUAUCACCUUAAAGGGUCAUAUCACAUUACUAUCAUCGAGCACGAUGCAAACAUCACCAAACAUUACAACAUCGUCCAAGAUCAC